GGGCCCGUAGCUCAACGGUAGAGCAAAUGCCUUAUAUGCAUUUGGUUGCAGGUUCGAAUCCUGCCGGGCCCACAA
rnacentral:tRNA from 3 species